AUGCGCGCUGGCGGCGUGCCUAAUACAUGCCAGUCGAGCGAACAGAUGAGGAGCUUGCUCCUCUGACGUUAGCGGCGGACGGGUGAGUAACACGUGGAUAACCUACCUAUAAGACUGGGAUAACUUCGGGAAACCGGAGCUAAUACCGGAUAAUAUAUUGAACCGCAUGGUUCAAUAGUGAAAGACGGUUUUGCUGUCACUUAUAGAUGGAUCCGCGCCGCAUUAGCUAGUUGGUAAGGUAACGGCUUACCAAGGCAACGAUGCGUAGCCGACCUGAGAGGGUGAUCGGCCACACUGGAACUGAGACACGGUCCAGACUCCUACGGGAGGCAGCAGUAGGGAAUCUUCCGCAAUGGGCGAAAGCCUGACGGAGCAACGCCGCGUGAGUGAUGAAGGUCUUCGGAUCGUAAAACUCUGUUAUUAGGGAAGAACAAAUGUGUAAGUAACUAUGCACGUCUUGACGGUACCUAAUCAGAAAGCCACGGCUAACUACGUG
rnacentral:rRNA from 1 species